GUUACUGUGUGUCUUUGU
rnacentral:siRNA from 1 species